UUACCUACGGGAGGCAGCAGUGGGGAAUAUUGCACAAUGGGGGAAACCCUGAUGCAGCAACGCCGCGUGGGUGAAGAAGUAUUUCGGUAUGUAAAGCCCUAUCAGCAGGGAAGAGAAUGACGGUACCUGACUAAGAAGCCCCGGCUAACUACGUGCCAGCAGCCGCGGUAAUACGUAGGGGGCAAGCGUUAUCCGGAUUUACUGGGUGUAAAGGGCGUGUAGGCGGGCAUGCAAGCCAGAAGUGAAAUCUGGGGGCUUAACCCCCAAACUGCUUUUGGAACUGCGGGGCUUGAGGGAUGGAGAGG
rnacentral:rRNA from 1 species